rnacentral:rRNA from 1 species
UACGUAGGGGGCAAGCGUUGUCCGGAUUUAUUGGGCGUAAAGAGCGUGUAGGCGGCCUGAAAGGUCAGCUGUGAAAACUCGAGGCUCAACCUCGAGACGUCGGUUGAAACCAUUUGGCUAGAGUCCGGAAGAGGAGUGUGGAAUUCCCGGUGUAGCGGUGAAAUGCGCAGAUAUCGGGAAGAACACCCGUGGCGAAGGCGGCACUCUGGGACGGUACUGACGCUGAGACGGCGAAAAGCGUGGGGAGCGAACAGG